UACAGAGGUCUCAAGCGUUGUUCGGAUUCAUUGGGCGUAAAGGGUGCGUAGGCGGCGCGGUAAGUCGGAUGUGAAAUCUCGGAGCUUAACUCCGAAACUGCAUUCGAUACUGCCGUGCUUGAGGACUGGAGAGGAGACUGGAAUUUACGGUGUAGCGGUGAAAUGCGUAGAUAUCGGGAGGAACACCAGUGGCGAAGGCGGCUUGCUAGCUUGUAACUGACGCUGAGGCGCGAAAGCUAGGGGAGCGAACGGG
rnacentral:rRNA from 1 species